CGGAGGUUACUGCUAUCGAGGUUCGACUAAGCCAUGCGAGUCGAAUGUAGCAAUACAUGGCGUACUGCUCAGUAACACGUGGACAACCUACCCUUAGGUCGGGGAUAAACCCGGGAAACUGGGUAUAAUACCCGAUAGAUCUCGGCUGCUGGAAUGCACCGAGCUCUAAAGCUCCGGCGCCUAAGGAUGGGUCUGCGGCCUAUCAGGUAGUAGUGGGUGUAGCGUACCUACUAGCCUACGACGGGUACGGGUUGUGAGAGCAAGAGCCCGGAGAUGGAUUCUGAGACACGAAUCCAGGCCCUACGGGGCGCAGCAGGCGCGAAAACUUUACAAUGCGGGAAACCGUGAUAAGGGAACUCCGAGUGCCCGUAAAAUCGGGCUGUCCACCAGUUUAAAUAACUGGUGAAGAAAGGGCCGGGCAAGACCGGUGCCAGCCGCCGCGGUAAUACCGGCGGCUCGAGUGGUGGCCACUAUUACUGGGCUUAA
rnacentral:rRNA from 1 species